rnacentral:rRNA from 1 species
CCUACGGGGGGCAGCAGUCGAGAAUCAUUCACAAUGGGGGAAACCCUGAUGGUGCGACGCCGCGUGGGGGAAUGAAGGUCUUCGGAUUGUAAACCCCUGUCAUGUGGGAGCAAAUUAAAAAGAUAGUACCACAAGAGGAAGAGACGGCUAACUCUGUGCCAGCAGCCGCGGUAAUACAGAGGUCUCAAGCGUUGUUCGGAAUCACUGGGCGUAAAGCGUGCGUAGGCUGUUUCGUAAGUCGUGUGUGAAAGGCGCGGGCUCAACCCGCGGACGGCACAUGAUACUGGGAGACUAGAGUAAGGGAGGGGGAACCGGAAUGCUCGGUGUAGCAGUGAAAUGCGUAGAUAUCGAGAGGAACACUCGUGGCGAAGGCGGGUUCCUGGACAUUAACUGACGCUGAGGCACGAAGGCCAGGGGAGCGAAAGGGAUUAGAUACCCCAGUAGUC